AUUGAACGCUGGCGGCAGGCCUAACACAUGCAAGUCGAGCGGAGCGGCGGACGGGUGAGUAAUGCCUAGGAAUCUGCCUGGUAGUGGGGGAUAAGGUCCGGAAACGGGCGCUAAUACCGCAUACUAUCAGAUGAGCCUAGGUCGGAUUAGCUAGGUGGUGGGGUAAAGGCCCACCAAGGCGACGAUCCGUAACUGGUCUGAGAGGAUGAUCAGUCAAACUGGAACUGAGACACGGUCCCGACGCCUACGGGAGGCAGCAGUGGGGAAUAUUGGACAAUGGGCGAAAGCCUGCUCCAGCCAGGCCGCGUGUGUGAAGAAGGUCUUCGGAUUGUAAAGCACUUUAAGUUGGGAGGCGUUACCAACAGAAUAAGCACCGGCUAACUCCGUGCCAGCCGCCGCGGUAAUAC
rnacentral:rRNA from 1 species